rnacentral:rRNA from 1 species
UGGGGAAUAUUGCACAAUGGGCGCAAGCCUGAUGCAGCCAUGCCGCGUGUGUGAAGAAGGCCUCGGGUUGUAAAGCACUUUCANCGAGGAGGAAGGUGGUGAACUUAAUACGUUCAUCAAUUGACGUUACUCGCAGAAGAAGCACCGGCUAACUCCGUGCCAGCAGCCGCGGUAAUACGGAGGGUGCAAGCGUUAAUCGGAAUUACUGGGCGUAAAGCGCACGCAGGCGGUUUGUUAAGUCAGAUGUGAAAUCCCCGGGCUCAACCUGGGAACUGCAUUUAAACUGGCAAGCUAGAGUCUCGUAGAGGGGGGCUAGAAUUCCAGGUGUAGCGGUGAAAUGCGUAGAGAUCUGGAGGAAUACCGGUGGCGAAGGCGGCCCCCUGGACGAAGACUGACGCUCAGGUGCGAAAGGCGUGGGGCAGCAAACAGGAUUAGAUACCCCUGGUAGUCCACGCUGUAAACGAUGUCGA